CCCUUUUCCUUCGCUUGAAGUUACCAUAACAGUGCAUUGUGAAUUGUAGUCUAUCGAAAUGGCGAUUCAUCAUAUCAGUAGCUUCUUUAUUGGUUGAUGAUGCUCCUUACUUCGUGUAUGGAAUGGUAUCGACAUGUUGAAUGGACAUCGCAUAACGGCAUAUGUACGUAUGAACAUUUACAUUGAAGUGAUUGCACUAUAAAAAUGGACUACAUUCUACGAAGAUGGAAAACAAGCGAGUGGAAAAACACGAUCUAUAUCUUGUGGUUUGUGAAUGGUCAGGUCCCUACGUACUGAAUAAUUUUUAUACAUGAUUUAUAUAUGGCUGCUAUUAGUUUUCGUUUUUCGUCUAUUGAUUACAAUUUUUGUUAACACUCUGCACUAUUUCAUUUUUUGUGCUCUACAAAAGUUUGCGUUUCUUUGUACGAACAAAAAAUAUUUGCUGUGUCAAUAGGGUAGUCAGCCCACAUUUUUAUUGCUCCGUAAAUUUAAAUUUUUUAUACGACUGUAUAAGACGCACGAUCUGACUACGCUGCAUGUUAAAGUAGAUCAUCGGGAUCAUUGAAAACAACAAAAA